GAUUAAGUUAUUAAGGGCGCACGGUGGAUGCCUUGGCACUAGAAGCCGAUGAAGGACGUUACUAACGACGAUAUGCUUUGGGGAGCUGUAAGUAAGCUUUGAUCCAGAGAUUUCCGAAUGGGGAAACCCAACAUGAGUUAUGUCAUGUUAUCGAUAUGUGAAUACAUAGCAUAUCAGAAGGCACACCCGGAGAACUGAAACAUCUUAGUACCCGGAGGAAGAGAAAGAAAAUUCGAUUCCCUUAGUAGCGGCGAGCGAAACGGGAAGAGCCCAAACCAACAAGCUUGCUUGUUGGGGUUGUAGGACACUCUAUACGGAGUUACAAAGGACGACAUUAGACGAAUCAUCUGGAAAGAUGAAUCAAAGAAGGUAAUAAUCCUGUAGUCGAAAAUGUUGUCUCUCUUGAGUGGAUCCUGAGUACGACGGAGCACGUGAAAUUCCGUCGGAAUCUGGGAGGACCAUCUCCUAAGGCUAAAUACUCUCUAGUGACCGAUAGUGAACCAGUACCGUGAGGGAAAGGUGAAAAGCACCCCGGAAGGGGAGUGAAAUAGAACCUGAAACCGUGUGCUUACAAGUAGUCAGAGCCCGUUAAUGGGUGAUGGCGUGCCUUUUGUAGAAUGAACCGGCGAGUUACGAUUUGAUGCAAGGUUAAGCAGUAAAUGUGGAGCCGUAGCGAAAGCGAGUCUGAAUAGGGCGUUUAGUAUUUGGUCGUAGACCCGAAACCAGGUGAUCUACCCUUGGUCAGGUUGAAGUUCAGGUAACACUGAAUGGAGGACCGAACCGACUUACGUUGAAAAGUGAGCGGAUGAACUGAGGGUAGCGGAGAAAUUCCAAUCGAACCUGGAGAUAGCUGGUUCUCUCCGAAAUAGCUUUAGGGCUAGCCUCAAGUGAUGAUUAUUGGAGGUAGAGCACUGUUUGGACGAGGGGCCCCUCUCGGGUUACCGAAUUCAGACAAACUCCGAAUGCCAAUUAAUUUAACUUGGGAGUCAGAACAUGGGUGAUAAGGUCCGUGUUCGAAAGGGAAACAGCCCAGACCACCAGCUAAGGUCCCAAAAUAUAUGUUAAGUGGAAAAGGAUGUGGCGUUGCCCAGACAACUAGGAUGUUGGCUUAGAAGCAGCCAUCAUUUAAAGAGUGCGUAAUAGCUCACUAGUCGAGUGACACUGCGCCGAAAAUGUACCGGGGCUAAACAUAUUACCGAAGCUGUGGAUUGUCCUUUGGACAAUGGUAGGAGAGCGUUCUAAGGGCGUUGAAGCAUGAUCGUAAGGACAUGUGGAGCGCUUAGAAGUGAGAAUGCCGGUGUGAGUAGCGAAAGACGGGUGAGAAUCCCGUCCACCGAUUGACUAAGGUUUCCAGAGGAAGGCUCGUCCGCUCUGGGUUAGUCGGGUCCUAAGCUGAGGCCGACAGGCGUAGGCGAUGGAUAACAGGUUGAUAUUCCUGUACCACCUAUAAUCGUUUUAAUCGAUGGGGGACGCAGUAGGAUAGGCGAAGCGUGCGAUUGGAUUGCACGUCUAAGCAGUAAGGCUGAGUAUUAGGCAAAUCCGGUACUCAUUAAGGCUGAGCUGUGAUGGGGAGAAGACAUUGUGUCUUCGAGUCGUUGAUUUCACACUGCCGAGAAAAGCCUCUAGAUAGAAAAUAGGUGCCCGUACCGCAAACCGACACAGGUAGUCAAGAUGAGAAUUCUAAGGUGAGCGAGCGAACUCUCGUUAAGGAACUCGGCAAAAUGACCCCGUAACUUCGGGAGAAGGGGUGCUCUUUAGGGUUAACGCCCAGAAGAGCCGCAGUGAAUAGGCCCAAGCGACUGUUUAUCAAAAACACAGGUCUCUGCUAAACCGUAAGGUGAUGUAUAGGGGCUGACGCCUGCCCGGUGCUGGAAGGUUAAGAGGAGUGGUUAGCUUCUGCGAAGCUACGAAUCGAAGCCCCAGUAAACGGCGGCCGUAACUAUAACGGUCCUAAGGUAGCGAAAUUCCUUGUCGGGUAAGUUCCGACCCGCACGAAAGGCGUAACGAUUUGGGCACUGUCUCAACGAGAGACUCGGUGAAAUCAUAGUACCUGUGAAGAUGCAGGUUACCCGCGACAGGACGGAAAGACCCCGUGGAGCUUUACUGUAGCCUGAUAUUGAAAUUCGGCACAGCUUGUACAGGAUAGGUAGGAGCCUUUGAAACGUGAGCGCUAGCUUACGUGGAGGCGCUGGUGGGAUACUACCCUAGCUGUGUUGGCUUUCUAACCCGCACCACUUAUCGUGGUGGGAGACAGUGUCAGGCGGGCAGUUUGACUGGGGCGGUCGCCUCCUAAAAGGUAACGGAGGCGCUCAAAGGUUCCCUCAGAAUGGUUGGAAAUCAUUCAUAGAGUGUAAAGGCAUAAGGGAGCUUGACUGCGAGACCUACAAGUCGAGCAGGGUCGAAAGACGGACUUAGUGAUCCGGUGGUUCCGCAUGGAAGGGCCAUCGCUCAACGGAUAAAAGCUACCCCGGGGAUAACAGGCUUAUCUCCCCCAAGAGUUCACAUCGACGGGGAGGUUUGGCACCUCGAUGUCGGCUCAUCGCAUCCUGGGGCUGUAGUCGGUCCCAAGGGUUGGGCUGUUCGCCCAUUAAAGCGGUACGCGAGCUGGGUUCAGAACGUCGUGAGACAGUUCGGUCCCUAUCCGUCGUGGGCGUAGGAAAUUUGAGAGGAGCUGUCCUUAGUACGAGAGGACCGGGAUGGACAUACCUCUGGUGUACCAGUUGUCGUGCCAACGGCAUAGCUGGGUAGCUAUGUGUGGACGGGAUAAGUGCUGAAAGCAUCUAAGCAUGAAGCCCCCCUCAAGAUGAGAUUUCCCAACUUCGGUUAUAAGAUCCCUCAAAGAUGAUGAGGUUAAUAGGUUCGAGGUGGAAGCAUGGUGACAUGUGGAGCUGACGAAUACUAAUCGAUCGAAGACUUAAUCAA
rnacentral:rRNA from 1 species